AGAGUUUGAUCAUGGCUCAGAUUGAACGCUGGCGGCAUGGCUAAAACAUGCAAGUCGAACGAUUAAAGCCCCUUCGGGGGUGUAUAAAGUGGCGAACGGGCGAGUAAUGCGUUUCUAACGUGCCCCGAGGUCGGGGAUAGCUGGGGGAAACCCCAGGUAAUACCCGAUGACCCCAUCGGAUCGCAUGGUCUGAUGGGCAAAGGCUUGCCGCCUCGGGAUCGGGAAACGUCCUAUCAGGUUGUUGGUGAGGUAACGGCUCACCAAGCCAGAGACGGGUAGCGGGUGUGAGAGCACGACCCGCCGCAUCGGGACUGAGACACUGCCCGGACUCCUACGGGAGGCUGCAGUAACGGAUAUUGGGCAAUGAGCGCAAGCUUGACCCAGCAAUGCCGCGUGCAGGAUGGAGCCCCUCGGGGUGUAAACUGCUGUCAGGGUUUAGGAAGCAAGUGACCAAACCCAAAGGAAGGGCCGGCUAACUUCGUGCCAGCAGCCGCGGUAAUACGAAGGGCCCGAGCGUUAAUCGGAAUCACUGGGCUUAAAGGGUGCGUAGGCGGAAACGUCAGUGUCUUGUGAAAUCCCACGGCUCAACCGUGGAACUGCAGGGCAUACUGCGUUCUGAGGCCGUG
rnacentral:rRNA from 1 species